CCUACGGGUGGCAGCAGUGAGGAAUAUUGGUCAAUGGCCGCGAGCCUGAACCAGCCAAGUCGCGUGAAGGACGACGGUGCUACGCAUUGUAAACUUCUUUUGUCAAGGGACAAAAUCAGGCACGUGAGCCUGUCCGAGUGUACUUGAUGAAAAAGCAUCGGCUAACUCCGUGCCAGCAGCCGCGGUAAUACGGAGGAUGCGAGCGUUAUCCGGAUUUAUUGGGUUUAAAGGGUGCGUAGGCGGGCUGUUAAGUCAGCGGUAAAAGUCCGGGGCUCAACCCCGGCGAGCCGUUGAAACUGGCUGUCUUGAGAUGUCGAGAGGUAUGCGGAAUGCGCGGUGUAGCGGUGAAAUGCUUAGAUAUUGCGCAGAACUCCGAUUGCGAAGGCAGCAUACCGGCGGCGAUCUGACGCUGAGGCACGAAAGCGUGGGUAUCGAACAGGAUUAGAUACCCCAGUAGUC
rnacentral:rRNA from 1 species